UACGUAGGGCGCAAGCGUUGUCCGGAAUUAUUGGGCGUAAAGAGCUCGUAGGCGGCUUGUCACGUCGGGUGUGAAAGCCCGGGGCUUAACCCCGGGUCUGCAUUCGAUACGGGCUAGCUAGAGUGUGGUAGGGGAGAACGGAAUUCCCGGUGUAGCGGUGAAAUGCGCAGAUAUCUGGAGGAAUACCGGUGGCGAAGGCGGCAUCCUGGACCGGCAUUGACGCUGAGGAGCGAAAGCUAGGGGAGCAAACGGGG
rnacentral:rRNA from 1 species